AUGCGAGACUGCCCUGGUUAACAGGGAGGAAGGUGGGGAUGACGUCAAGUCAGCAUGGCCCUUACACCUUGGGCUACACACGUGUUACAAUGGCCGGUACAAUAAGUCGCAAUACCGUAAGGUGGAGCUAAUCUAUGAAACCGGUCCCAGUUCGGAUUGGGGGCUGAAACUCGCCCCCAUGAAGUUGGAAUCGCUAGUAACCGUGAAUCAGCACGUCACGGUGAAUACGUUCCCGGGUCUU
rnacentral:rRNA from 1 species